rnacentral:lncRNA from 1 species
AGUGAAACAAAAUCUAUUUAUUUAGUGCGAGACAAAAUAAUCCCGCCGAUGUCAGAAGUUAUGAUCUUAGCUAAAGUUACGGGUAUUCGACAAAAAAAUCAAUUAGGAGUAAUAGAAUCGGAAAUGUUGAGUGCACCAGGAUUUGCAACUAUGGAUGUCUUAGUUAAGACAAAAACUAAGGGCAAAAUUCCUGUUAGAAUUAUGAACGUUAUAGCGAAAACAAUAAAAUUAUGCAAGCAAGAAACAGUUGGUUAAUUUUUGCAAGCGACAGAGGACACCAAGGAACAAACGAUUAAUGAUCUUUCACAAAGGUCUGAUGUCAUAGCGAACAUGACUCAGAAAGAAUUUGGAAACCUUUUCGACUGGUCAAAGAUGGGAAAGGACAAAAAGAAACCAUUAUUAGCUUUAUUAUAUAAGUAUAGACAUGUUUUUGCG